GUCUGCUCUCUGUGGUAUAUGGUGGCACAAUAAGAAUGGGUGGAACAAUAAGAAUAGGUGGAACAAAAACAGUUAAGAUAGACGAUUUUGAUAAUGACAAAAGCCGUUAUUGGCUCAUUGUUUGUUAUUCUAGAUGUCUUAAAGAGGUUUUGUGUUCUAUAACUUGAAUACGGUGAAGUGUAACCACGUGGUCAGAUGAACUACUCAAAGGAUUUUCUGUGAAGGUGACCGUCUGCUCUGAGCAAAUGUAAUGUAUCUGAAGGAUUCCACGUUGCAUUUUGUCCCCAAUUAAGUGACUGAAUGUCGUCCAGAAAUGCAGGUUUUUUUUUUUUUUUAAGGGCGUCACCCAUUGAGUUCGAUUUAUACAAGGGGAAACUGGGACACAAACCAUCUUGAGCCUUGGAGUCAUCUGCCUUUUUAGAUUUAAAUUCCUCUGCGUGUCCUUUUAAGGAUUUCAUACUUGUGUAUUUGUGUAACGUUCUCAAAAAACAAUUAAAGUUCUCAUUUAAAUGCUU